rnacentral:lncRNA from 1 species
UUUUUUUUUUUUUUUUUUUUGCCUUUUCUAGGGCCGCUCCUGCGGCAUAUGGAGGUUCCCAGGCUAGGGGUCCAAUUGGAGCUGUAGCCGCCGGCCUACGCCAGAGCCACAGCAACGCAGGAUCCAAGCCACAUCUGCAACCUACACUACAGCUCACGGCAACACCGGAUCCUUAACCUACUGAGCAAUGCCAGGAUCGAACCCGCAACCUCAAGGUUCCUAGUCAGAUUCAUUAACCACUGCGCCACGACGGGAACUCCGCCAUUCUAUUGUUUUAAAGGCAAAUAUCUCAUUUUCCCAGUGACAUGAUAACCUCUCUGAACACUAGACCCAUAUUCCAAAGUAUCAUUUAUGGCCUAUAAAACGUCUAACUAGUUCCAAACAUUCAAUAAGGUUUUCCACAAACAUUUUAAAUGAAUGAAUGGGUGAAUAUGUUGAAAAAAAAUUCCUAUAAAUUAAUUUUGAAAUAGCCCCCACACAGUCAAUAACUAAUGCUAGAUCAAAAGAACUCUAAUAAAGCAGUUCAGAACUAAACUGGAAACCUUAGAGAAUUUAUCACUGGUUCCACUCCCAACCCAAACUUGCUCCUCCUUUUGUGUGCUUUCUCUGCAAGAGGUACCUCUUUCUAGAGAGACAACUCUAUCAAGAGAGAGCCAACACCACCCCCAGUUUCGAUGGUUCCUAAGGACAGAUAAGCAUGGUCAUACUCAAGGCUGUGACGUAUUACACUGAAAGGACACCAAGCACAAUCAGCAAAGGGAAAAGGAAACCAACGAAAUGCAAGGUUUCAAGGGUCCUCUCCCAGGAGAGUCACCAAGGAGUGCACACUUCCUCUUGCAAAGAAUUGUGAUUACACCUGUGGCAUUCAGUCAAACAGAAGCUUGGACUCAGCAGCCAGGGCGUUCCCGGGGGGGCUGGUCACACAGACAGCCUCUGUCCAAUUUCAGACUCCCAGAAGGACAGCGGGUCCUCCGCAAGAACUACAGGGUUUGUGCAAACAGCUUCACAUGGUUGAGCCACUCUUAGGAGAUACAGGGAAAACCAUCCUGAAACCUAAGUUCCCAGAUGUCGGCCAAGGACCAACCUUGCAAGUGGCCCUUUCCAGGGACAGCACAUCCGGCUCUGCUGCCCCAAACUAGAAUGACCUCAGUUCCUGCUUCUUCCUCACUGUCCCUCAUCCGUUGAAGGCCGAACCGGUCAGUUCUGGCCCUUAGUAAUGCCUGCAUCCACCCCUUCUCCCGGCCUAUCCCCACUCUGGUCCAGACCUCAGUCAUUCCUUACUCGAAUCCCUGCCGUAAGUCCCAUCUGGUUCCCGGCCUAUGCUCCACUCCAUUUGUCGGGAUCUUAUCAGGACCAACGCCUUGAUGUCUUCAUCUUGUAACCGAGCAGGGCCCUAUGGGGCUCCCAGGAACACAAGCCUUUCCGCGUCCUCCAUUGCUUGUUUUUAGCGAAUGAGCCUCAGCCUCCAUGCCCUUCCCUGAGUUUCCAAAGGGCAGUUGCUCAUCAGGAAAGGGAGGGGGUAGAGACCAGGGAGGAGCCAUCAAGACACAAUAGUGCAGCCUCAGGGCAGGGUCCUGGCUCCUCCUUAAGGAAUAUACAGAACAAUAGCUUUGAUUCUUUCUGCAGAACUGAAACCCCCAGCAAAAGGAAGAACUACCUGAUGAAGCGUCUUCAUUCCAGGAAGGAGGAGGACCAGCAGAGCCAGUCCUGGGGCCACUAAACACCAGCUUUGAAAGACAAUGCAAGCUUGCUUCUACCAGGAUCCUUAUCUAAGGGCCUAUUUCCAUGCCCCAAACUAUAAAACCACCUCCUAAUCUCUCCGGAGAGGGGGCACAGUCUUUAAGGCUGGGCCCUUAAAGGUCCUGCUGUGACCCUCUCUAGCAAAGCCAUAAAGCUAUCGGUUUCUCCUUUCCCCAAAACUCUUGUCUCUACAUUUCUAUUCAGCACCAGUGGACAGAGGUUGAGUUUUGGCAACAAUCUCCUGCCCUCUAUCACCAUUUUUGGAGGGUUCUCCUGAGGUCAGCUUUAUCUCUCAGUUUUGGGAGGAGGACACAGACUCUGGGGUGUUGCAUUAUUCAUGCUGUCCUCUUUGUACUGGCUUUGUUCAAAAGCUAAAGCCAAACAUGGGGUCGAUCUCCUGGGACCGGUGCAUGGAAUCUGGACCCCAAUCCCAAAUCUGCUUUCAACUCAUUUUCCUUCCUUCAUCUUUUAUCCUGAUUACUUCAUUUAUGCUUUAUCUGUUUGUAUUCUCCUUUUAUUCUUCUCUUUAGGGGGCAUGGGUGUGGCAUAUGGAGGUUCCCAGGCUAGGGGUCAUAUUGGAGCUACAGUUGCCGGUAGUCUACACCACAACCACAGCAACCAAUCCCCUGAGCCACACCAGGGAUCGAACCCAAAUCAUCAUGGAUCCUAGUCGGAUUCGUUACGGCUGAGCCACGAAGGGAACUCCUGUUUUUUCUUUUUUACUUAGAUUCUUUCUAGAACAAGGCAGAAUAUAAAGUCCAGAGAGAGGAAAACACUAUCCCAUUUUUCUCUAGAAGAAGUGAACCCUUAGUGUUCCUCGGCCACCCAUUCCUAGCUGAAUCUGAGUCAGUGUAGGCGCAUGGGCUUUGAUGCAUUCUUUGAUGUGGCCACUGAUGAACAUUUGUGGCUUAAGGGCUCCGGGGAGUAACAUCCCCACAGGCCUUGUUUACUGUAGGGAGUGUGCCUACCCCCAGAUGGACAUGAAUCCCUAGCCCCCUGAGACUCAGUUUAAAGGAGGAAAAGGGCAAAGAAGCUAUGAGACUUACGGGUCAUUUCCACCCCUAAGACCCUAUUGGACAAGGAUUGAUAGAGGUAACUGGGCAAGGCCAAUGGGAGAAAGCCACAUCUUUCUGGACCCCACGUUGGUACCCCCUCAUCUUUAAGAGAUAAAAUCCCCCAUAGGACAAUAGAGAAAGGGGGGCUUUUCUCCCCUCUCCCAGCAGCCCUGGGAGCUAUCUGCUUCCCUUUCAUAAAGACUUUGCUUGCUUGCUGCCUGUGUGUUCGCGGAAUUCAUUCUUCAACUGCCGUGAACAAGAAUCCAGAUUCCGGUAUCAUCUUUCCAGUAUCAAAAGUAAUAUAAAGCACAUCUUACAGAAGGAAAUCUUUUCCUUCUGGUUCUGCAGCUCAACUUCAUGCAAUUAAGUCAAACAAAGGCAAGCAUAGGUGGGCCCACAGUUUCCUCCCAAGGUUUAGAAAUGAAACUCAAGCAAGUCCAGAUGUGUACCUCGCUUUAUUCAGUACAUGCACUGCUAAAAAGCUAUGUGUAAUGUGAGCUGUGUAAACAAUCACACAAAAAAACUUUUUUUUGUCUUUUUAGGACCUUCUAGGGCUGCAGCCUAUGGAGGUUGCCAGGCUAGGGGCUGAAUCAGAGCUAUAGUCAGUCGCUGGCCUACGCCACAGCCACAGCAACACCAGAUCUGAACCACAUCUGCAACCUAUACUGCAGCUCAUGACAACGCCGGAGCCUAAACCCACUGGGCGAGGCCAGGGAUCAAACCUGCCUCCUCAUGGAUACUCGUUGGGUUUGUUACUGCUGAGCCACGAUGAGAACUCCCAACAGAAUCCAAAUUUAAAUUUCCUUGAGAUGCUCACAAUUGAGAGGAAUGCUGGGACACAUCAGUGAAGUCACACUAGGGCAAAGGGAGUGAUCAUCUCACCAUGUUCCAACUUGGCGAUGCCGCAUUUACAGACGGAGGCUCUUUAAAACUGUCCUGUGCGAAAACCCUGCUCGGACUCUACUGGGUAUAAACACACAAGCCUCUUCACGCGUUUCCUCACCUCUAAGCAGAAAUCAAAUUCAAAAUCAGCAAGAGAAAUCAAAUUAAUAGGACAUACGGAGACACUGUUAUCACCAAAUUCACACCAGAGAUGAUUAGCACCUCAAAUGUGAGAAUGAGCUCAGAGCUCUGUUCAUGUCUGCCCCCCACGCCCGCCCCCGACAGACACGCCUUGACAGCAUCCUAAGUAAAAUACUGUGCUGAGUGUCCAAUGGGAUUCAAGGUAACUAAGGUACAGUUCUUGUCCUCAAGGAACUUGAAUGCCUAUUUCAUGAGCAAACUCAUGCAGUUCCAUCCCUCCCUCCCUCUUCUUUCAUUAUGAUAAGAAUAUCUAACUACUAUUGACAUCAGAUGAUUUUUUUUCCAGUUUCUUUUUUUUUUUUUAAUUUAUUUUUGGGCCACAUCCAAGGCAUGCAGCAUUUCCCUGGCCAGGGAUCAAACCCACACCACAUCAGUGACAAAUGUCAGAUCCUUAAUCCACACAGCCACCAAAAAGCUCCACAAGUUAUUGUCUUUAUUUUUUUCCCUCCUUUAUAUCUGCUUUUAUUUCAUAAACACCCAGCAGGAGACAGGUUUCAUGAAUUUGCUUUUUAAAAUUCCUAACAACUACAAAGCUUCAUAGAGGGAGGACAGAACAUACAGGGUUGGGAGGGAAAAAAAAAGAAAACCCUGAAGAAGAUUCAAAGCUUUUGUCACCAGAACAGUAUCUAAAUUUAAUACAUAAUCUUACUGUUAGGAUGGCGGAGUCGAGAGAAACAGAGGCUGGAGCAGUGAGAUCACAAGCAGGUUUAUGGACCAACACAGUGGCCGGGAGCACCGAGCAGGGAGAACUCAGGCUCCCCACUAUUGGGGCAAGGGCUUUUUUAUAGCUAGGGUUUCGUGGGAUGGAUCACAGAGGCUCAAGGGGAAUGGGGAAGAGAGCUUGAGAAACGCAGAGGGAGGAUUUAGGUCUUAGGUGUGAGUUUCAGUAGUCUUUUUGGCUCUGUUCAUUUUGAGGUUUCAACAGCUCCUUAACUUAUCUUGGUCCUGGAGCCUUCAUCCUGCCGGCAUCUGUUUUUCCUGUUGGUUUGCUCCGCUGACAAGGUGUCUGGAGCCUGGGUGGGAUCUUGAUGGCGUGGUGUUUUCUGUCCUCCAUUUAGUGUUCUCUCUCCAGUUUAUAGACCCCAACACUUACUAGUUUUUGGGGUUUUUUUUGUCUUUUGUCUUUUUAGCCCCCACUCCCCCACCUGGCAUAUGGAGGUUCCCAGGCUAGGGGUCGAAUCAGACCUGUAGCCGCCGGCCUACAGCCACAGCCACGCCAGAUCUUAGCCACAUCUGCGACCUACACCAUAGCUCACGGCAACGCCGUUCCUUUACCUGCUGAGCAAGGCCAGGGAUGGAACCCUCAACCUCAUGGUUCCCAGUCGAUUCGUUUCCGCUGCGCCACGACGGGAACUUCAACACUUACUAGUUUUAAUUACAGGAUGAAAACUCUGAAUUAAUUACAGAUUUGAAUUUUUAAAGUAGUUCAGUUUAUCUCAAGUACGAAAGACAGUAAUUCAAACUGCGCUAAUCAAAGGUGGCUCAGUGGACAUCCUAAGAGGUUUAGUUUUAAUGAAUUAAUAGAUUUAUGAUUCACUUCUCAACAACUUGACUAUAAACACGAUAUUUUAGAAAGGAUCUGAAAAUUGUUCUUUAAUGUCGGUUAAAAAUCCGUCUUGGAGAGUUCCUGUCAUGGCUCAACAGUUAACGAACCCAAAUAGCAUCCAAGAGGACGCAGGCUCAGUCCCUGGCCUCACUCAGUGCAUUGGGGAUCUGACGUUGCUGUGAGCUGUGGUGUAGGUGGCAGGCAAGGCUCGGAUCCCGAGUUGCUGUGGUGUGGUGUCGGCUGGUGGCUACAGCUCCAAUUCCACCCCUGGGAACCUGGGAACCUCCAUGUGGCCACAGGUGUGGAGGAAAAGGCAAAAGAAAAAAGAAUCAGUCUUGGAGUUCCCCUUGUGCUGCAGCAUAAAUGAACCCGACUAGAAUCCAUGAAGAUGAGGGUUCGAUCCCUGCCGUUACUCAGUGGGUUAAGGAUCCAUGAGCUGUGGUGUAGGUCACAGAGGCCAGCCCCUAGCAUGGGAACUUCCUUAUGCUGUGGGUGAGGCCCUAAAAAAAAAUAAAUCAUCUUUUUAGUAUGGUAACAGAUGGAAACCAAAUUCUGGGGAGUGAGCACAAUGCAGUGUAUACAAAAGUAGAAACAGAAUGUAUACAUAGAGUAUAUAACAUUAUAAACCAAUGUAUCUCAAUUUUUUAAAGGUAUAAAAAAAGAAUCAGUCUUUUCAUACUUUUUACAUUACUCUUUUUGUCUUCAAAUAAUUUUUCCAAACAGUGAAAAGAUAAAUUUUAGCCAGUUUAUAUCCAAAAUAACAACAAUUUCUAAAUAAGUAUGACCAAAUGGAAAAUAUCUUGUGAAUAAAUCUGGCAAUGGACUUAGCUGUUCUUUCAGUUGCUCAAUAAAAUUUGAGCCCAAUUCUAAAUUUACAAGCAAAUAUUUUCUAAAAUAUCUGAUAGGUGUGUUUUUAAAUCCUUGUUAACUGUUUAAAAGUUCCUUAGGUUGUCACACCUGUUAUAUCUGCAUAUACUUAACCUACUCAUAGAUAUUUAUGCUAAUUCAUUAGCUCCCUCAGGGUGGGAAGGGCCGACUUUAUCGUCUUAGAGCACUGAUGCAUGGCUUCCCGGGUCAGAGACAAAUAAAUCUUUUAGUAUAAUUGCGGUUGCUUUAUGUGCCGCUGUCUCCCUGCUGGGAAAAAUGUUAAAAUAUUUAAGGUUUACUAUCUCCUGUGAGGGUGCUUGUAUAAUUAAAAUGUGGGAUGGGAGGAGAGAAUGGCAGAAUUUAAUACUUGCUUUUAGUUGGAAUAAGUUAGUUUGAAUUAGUAAACUUUGAGAGAGAGUCGAUAGAAGGACAAGUUUUGCUGAAGAAGAGCUGGCAGCGUCGUUUUGAGAUCUCUGCGACAGUCCUUUGGAUUCAGACUAGCUCAGGUAGGAUAGAGGUAGAACUGGGGGAUAGGUAUGGCACAGAGAUCACGAUUCCUGUCCAUGUUAAACUAAACUAAACCCUAUCAUCAGUGCUCACACACACCAAGCCUUCAUACCACAUCUGCUUUUACCUUUCUCCUCCGUAUCUGUCUACACACCUGAAGAGCAGGUGGGAAAGCAGUUUUGUCCUUAAUAAGCACAUGAUUUUGGAGUUCCCAUGGUGGCUCAGUGGUUAACGAACCUGGCUAGGAACCAUGAGGUUGCGGGUUUGAUCCCUGGCCUUGCUCAGUGGGUUAAGGAUCCAGUGUUGCCGUGAGCUGUGGUGUAGGUGGCAGACGCGGCUCGGAUGCCACGUUGGUGUGGCUCUGGCGUAGGCCGGUGGCUAUGGCUCCGAUUGGACCCCGAGCCUGGGAACCUCCAUAUGCUGUGAGAGUGGCCCCAGAAAUGGCAAAAAAAAAGACAAAUAAAUAAAUAAAUAAAAAAUAGGCACAUGAGUUUGAGCUGAACUAUCCGACUGCAGAGAUUCUUCAAAUUCUUCAUCUUGGCCUUGCUCUGCAGACUUGUGCUUCCCAGUACAACCAAUAGAUACGCCUCGGCUCACCAAUUCCCUCCCAGGGCCCACAGCCUUGGGGUUCUCCAAGGAAAAUAGAGUUCCAUCUCACACCUAAGAAGGAUGACUUACUCCUGGAUGUGAAUCCAACGAGCAAGAUUAUUUUUCUUUGAAACAUAAUUCAGUCAAUAACCUGAUUUCAUUCUAGUCGCUUAUCCUGUUUGAAGGGAAAGCAUGUGCAUAAGAGCAGCCUGCAAGAGAAACCAGAGUUUUCCAGUGCACAUUACGGUCUGUGCACUGUGCCCCGGAGAGGGCUGGAUCAGUCAGCAUCAUGGGGCAGGAAAAACGCAAACGGUUAUAAAGGCCACACACUCCAGUGACAGCUACGCUGCUGCAGCCAGAAGAGGAGCAAAUGGUCCUUAGUAAGACCCUAUUUGGGGGAAGAAGAGACUGUGCAGAGGGUCCAAGAGAAUGACUCUGUGGUUUGCAAUUGGCUAGUCAAUUCUCAACAUAAGUGAAUCCAGCAGACAUGAUUGUUUAGAAAAGCAAUUAAACACGGUUCAAUCUUUCUUGGUUAAUUAAGGGAUUUUCAUCUGGAGGUGUGGCUGGAGGAAGGAGCCUCCUGGAAACCAGGAUCUGAAAGAAGUGUUAAGUGUGAAAAAAAAUCAGUUCCAGAUGAUUCUGUUUAUAUCCAGACUAUUACAUCUAGACACUGGAAAUUAAACUAUAGGUCAGCAAAAAAAAAAAAAACAAAAA